CUCAUACAUGCAGUCGCACGAGAAAGUACUUCGGUACGAGUAGAGUGGCGCACGGGUGCGGAACACGUAGGUAAUCUACCUUUUGGAUUGGGAUAACCAAGGGAAACUUUGGCUAAUACCGAGUAAGCUCUGCGACUCAUAAAGUUUUGCAGAGGAAAGAUGGUGCAAGCUAUCGCCGAAAGAUGAGCCUGCGGCCCAUUAGUUUGUUGGUGGGGUAAAAGCCUACCAAGACUACGAUGGGUAGCUGGUCUGAGAGGAUGAUCAGCCACACUGGAACUGGAACACGGUCCAGACUCCUACGGGAGGCAGCAGUAGGGAAUAUUGCGCAAUGGGGGAAACCCUGACGCAGCCACGUCGUGUGUGUGAAGAAGGCCUUCGGGUCGUAAAACACUGUCACCAGGGAAGAAAAGCAAUCGGGGAAAGUUCGGUUGCCUUGACGGUACCUGGAGAGGAAGCACCGGCUAACUCUGUGCCAGCAGCCGCGGUAAUACAGAGGGUGCAAGCGUUGUUCGGAAUUACUGGGCGUAAAGAGUUCGUAGGUGGUAUUGAGAGUCAUAGGUGAAAUCCCCAAGCUCAACUUGGGACGUGCCUGUGAGACUUCAGUACUAGAGUACGGAAGGGGCUAGUGGAAUACCAUGUGUAGCGGUGAAAUGCGUAGAUAUGUGGUGGAACAUCGGUGGCGAAGGCGACUGGCUGGUCCGUAACUGACACUGAGGAACGAAAGCGUGGGUAGCAAACAGGAUUAGAUACCCUGGUAGUCCACGCCGUAAACGAUGCAUACUA
rnacentral:rRNA from 1 species